GCCGGUGGCCAUGGCCCGUGCCUGUAGUCCCAGCUACUCGGGAGGCUGAGAUGGGAGGAUUCCUUGAAUCCAGGAGUUCUGGGCUAUAGUGUGCUAUGCCGAUUGGGUGUCCACCCAAAGUUCAGCAUCAAUAUGGUGACUUCCUGGGAGCAGGUGGACACCAGGUUGCCUAAGGAGGCGUGAACCGGCCCAGGUCGGAAACCGGGCAGGUCAAAACUCCCGUGCUGAUCAGUAGUGGGAUCAUGCCUGUGAAUAGCCACUGCCCUCCAGCCUGGGCAACAUAGCGAGACCUGUCUUU
rnacentral:SRP_RNA from 1 species